rnacentral:rRNA from 1 species
UACGUAGGGUGCAAGCGUUGUCCGGAAUUAUUGGGCGUAAAGAGCUCGUAGGCGGUCUGUCGCGUCUGCUGUGAAAACUCGGGGCUUAACCCCGGGCCUGCAGUGGGUACGGGCAGACUAGAGUGCGGUAGGGGGAGACUGGAAUUCCUGGUGUAGCGGUGAAAUGCGCAGAGUAUCAGGAGGAACACCGGUGGCGAAGGCAGGUCUCUGGGCCAUAACUGACGCUGAGGAGCGAAAGCGUGGGGAGCGAACAGG